GUGUGCUGGGAGCGGCGGACGGCUGCGUAACACGUUGGUACCUGCCCCGAACUCAGGGAUAACCUUCCGAAAGGAGGGCUAAUACCGGAUAGUCCCGUGAGGGUAAAGCUUUCGCGGUUCGGGAGGGGCCUGCGGCCUAUCAGCUAGUUGGUAAGGUAAUGGCUUACCAAGGCUAUGACGGGUAGCUGGUCUGAGAGGACGACCAGCCAGAAUGGAACUGAGACACGGUCCAUACUCCUACGGGAGGCAGCAGUGGGGAAUAUUGGACAAUGGGCGCAAGCCUGAUCCAGCCAUGCCGCGUGAGUGAUGAAGGCCCUAGGG
rnacentral:rRNA from 1 species